GUGCUCACUUUGGCAGCACAUAUACUAAAAUUGGAACCAUACAGAGAAGAUUAGCAUGGUCUCUGCAUGAGGAUGACACGCAAAUUCAUGAAGCGUUCCAUAUUUUU
ensembl:snRNA U6 U6 spliceosomal RNA